rnacentral:rRNA from 1 species
AUGGGUAUGCAGUCUCUGAUGGAUGUCCGGUGCACGAACCUUGUCAACCCUGUAUGCGACUGGCUUGGUGAGAUUUACGACCCCGCCUCCAGGGAAUUCGUGAUUCCGGGACGUGGAAGACUAUCGUUGAACGAGGAAUCCGUGUUCUGCACUUUGGGCGUGCCUCGUGGACAUAUCAAAGUCCCGUACGAGGUCAAUAACGAGAUCGAGGAAGCACUGUUCCCCUGUUUGUUUUCUGGGUUGGAAACCAUGCCGAACACAUCUGCACUGGCAGAUUCGCUGCAGGCCAUGAUGACGCAUGGAGAUGCGGAUCUGAGAAAUGUGAAGAACAUGAAUUGGUGUAAGUUUAUUGCCGACUUCCUGCACGAUGCAUUCUCAAGCAAGAUGUACCAAAAGGGUUGUCGACUGCAUUUAAUGCUCAUGUACGUCGACUGUCUUGAUCUGUCCAACGUGGAUUUCACUAGGACAGGAGGCCCGCCGCCUACGCACAAGUUUGCUGUUUCUGCGUGGACUAUCAACGCUGUCAAGGCUGUGCUUGCCGCAGACAGGGUAACUGAUACCAAAUAUGGAAAACUGCAGCUGAUGGCCAAGCAUGCUAUAGACUACAGCGUGUUUGAGGGGCCUCAAAACUUUGGAAAGUGGAUGGACAUGCACUCAGCUCCGUCUUGCCCUACUGAGGGCACCUGUUGA